CCUACGGGUGGCAGCAGUGAGGAAUAUUGGUCAAUGGGCGAGAGCCUGAACCAGCCAAGUCGCGUGAAGGAUGACGGCCCUACGGGUUGUAAACUUCUUUUGUCAGGGAGCAAUUGAGUCCACGUGUGGGCUUAGCGAGAGUACCUGAAGAAAAAGCAUCGGCUAACUCCGUGCAAGCAGCAGCGGUAAUACGGAGGAUGCGAGCUUUAUCCGGAUUUAUUGGGUUUAAAGGGUGCGUAGGCGGAAUAUCAAGUCAGCGGUAAAAAUGCGGGGCUCAACCCCGUCGUGCCGUUGAAACUGGUGUUCGUGAGUGGGCGAGAAGUAUGCGGAAUGCGUGGUGUAGCGGUGAAAUGCAGAGAUAGCACGAAGAACUCCGAUUGCGAAGGCAGCAUACCGGCGCCCAACUGACGCUGAAGCACGAAAGCGUGGGUAUCGAACAGGAUUAGAUACCCGAGUAGUC
rnacentral:rRNA from 1 species